AGCAUAAAUGGUACGCUGCCACUUUAAGGUCUAUUUCGGCUGCUGCAUAUAAGCAGGUAUCCACCCGCCACGAAGUUGCUUGCGUCAUGACGUCGUAUCAUUUUGGUUCCUGUGUCUGCUGAACUGUGCUGGGUGAGCGUGGCUGUUUCUUUGUUUGUUAGCUUUAAUCUUAGUUAUUAAUGUAGUUUGGUCUGCUCUGUUUAGCUUCUUUCGUUGCUCCUCCAAAACCUGGACUGAUCUGUUUGUGUUAGCUUGGUGCUGGGAAGGUAAGGGCUAGCGUGGCUAGAUAACAUCCACCCCAUAUAAAUAAAGCCUUCACACAGCAUUUUGUUACAGCUGCGCUGCAUAGGCGGAAUUGUGACUCCGUUUAUUUGGCAGCCUGGUAAUGAAACAGCUUCCUGAUGAGUCUUUGACCACCAUAAUACUGGAUUUGACACUCGCUGCUGUUUUGCCUAUAAAGAACUGUUUCGCCUAAAGAAAUUCUUAAAAGGACCUAUCUGGACUUUCCCCCUGCUGCCAGGAGCAUUGAUGACACUACCAUCCGGGAAAAAGUGCAAUAUUGUAGUGCUAUUGUACCACUGUUUUACUCAUAUUGUUUCAUUUUUGCCUUCCUUUUAGGGACUGAGGCUUCUGUGGUGGCGGUGGUGAUCCCUGGUGGCGGUGUCUUGUUUUGUGUGUUUUGUUGGUGGAGCACCUUCUUUUUUUUGUUUGCCGUGUUUUUGUAGUGUCCAGGGUGAUCCCUUUUCUUCACUGGACGUUGCCCCUUUUCUCACCACUCUCCCCCCCCCCCACUGGUAAGCCUCAGUUUCCUUUUGAAAUUUAAAAUAUUUUAUAAUCAAUUUAAAUAAAAAUGCAUUCACUGUUUUAACCAUUCAAUUGCUGAUUAUUGUGAUUCUUUUUAAACAAAAGAUGUGUAGUGUUUAAUAAACUUUUGUAAAACUAUUUGAAUCCUGUCUCAUUUCCAGUAGAACUUACCUGUGUCCUUACUAUUUUAUUUUCCUGGAGUUAUUCCAGGUGGCGUUGUCGGUAUCCCAUAUUAACUUUAACAUCUUACAUUUGGGUUUCAUAAAAAAAA